rnacentral:rRNA from 1 species
UACGGAAGGCAGCAGUGGGGAAUAUUGCACAAUGGGCGCAAGCCUGAUGCAGCCAUGCCGCGUGUAUGAAGAAGGCCUUCGGGUUGUAAAGUACUUUCAGCGGGGAGGAAGGCGAUGCGGUUAAUAACCGCGUCGAUUGACGUUACCCGCAGAAGAAGCACCGGCUAACUCCGUGCCAGCAGCCGCGGUAAUACGGAGGGUGCAAGCGUUAAUCGGAAUUACUGGGCGUAAAGCGCACGCAGGCGGUCUGUUAAGUCAGAUGUGAAAUCCCCGGGCUUAACCUGGGAACUGCAUUUUGAACUGGCAGGCUUGAGUCUUGUAGAGGGGGUGAAUUCCAGGUGUAGCGGUGAAAUGCGUAGAGAUCUGGAGGAAUACCGGUGGCGAAGGCGGCCCCUGGGACAAAGACUGACGCUCAGGUGCGAAAGCGUGGGGAGCAAACAGGAUUAGAUACC